AUUGGUUAAGAAAGUCACUAAGGCCAGCCAGGAUUCAAGAGGAAGGGAAUUAGACUCUACCUCUCACUAGGAUGAAUCGCCAAUAAUUUGCUGCAAUCUUUAAUUCACCAUGGGGACCUUGGCUCUAGAGAAAGUUAUUGACAUUUUCCUAAAAUAGACUUCAUUUAGCUGUUGUGGCAUCCAACUGCCCUCCUGUACAGAUCAUUCAAUGCCCAAGGGUACAGGUUGGGGUGAAGAUUGGAUACGUCCCCUUCCCCCUGACCUGUAGUGAAUAUGAUAGCUAAAAGGAGCUGAGCUGAUUCUGAGCCGGGAGCUUUAGGCCACAUCACAGUCCUGGCUGCCCCUCACUAACAGAAAAAAUUACCGGAGCGAAAUCAGUCAGCACAGCAUCUGGUCUGCAUGAACUGGCUGACUCCAGCCAGGCCCUCGGCGCCUCACUGUCACAGGUUAAUGCAUGAUGAGCUGGUUACAGGAAAACUGCUUGGGAGUCGUGCUGGAUUUCAUCUCUCUACAUUAGCUUCACCUCCCGGUUCAGAUAGAGGGAGCAUCGGAGUAGAAUUCCUUCCAGCAACAGAUAGACUUCAGAGCUCUA